GAAAAUCCAUUGAAGAUUGCCCUAACAAGCUUCCAUCUACUUAAUGUAGAGAUUCGUGGACUAAGAAUAUAGCCUGAAUUGUGUUUCUUGGUUAUUUCUUUAACCUCUCAUAUUCAAGUUAAUAGCAAAAGUAGCAGUCAACAAAGUUGAUUUUGAAAAUAAAAUUUUGUUGCUUUUAAUUUUUUUUUAAAACACUUUUUCAUUUCUCUAUCUGUCGUCUUCCUCGUCAAUGACGAUUUCUUCUUCUCUCAUUCAUGGCUUCCACUCUUUACUCAUAAUUUUUUAGGUAAGAUUAAUGUCUCAUUCUCUAACGUCUUUACGAUCUAUUUCACUCUCUCCUCCUCUCUUUCAAUUUAAACCUCAUGUGUCUAAGCUGAUGUAAAAUACCUCAAUCUGUAAAAUUUAGCUAUAAGUUAGACUCAUGCCCAUCCUCUUCUUCUUAUUCUUCUUCUAUCGAUCUCUCCUUUGAGAGGCUCCUAGACUCCAUGACCUCAUAUUCGGAUCAGACUCAGCUCAUCGAUUGCGUUUUUUGGUCUUUUGGGGAGUGUUUUACUGUAGUGGUUAUAUCUGGUUUUCAUCUCUGAAAAACUAAUUCUAUCAUUGCUCAUUUUGCUAUGGAUUCUAGUUGUAAACUGAUCAUUAUCCUUUUUUGUUUUCUUAUUUAUCUAUUCUUUUCUCUCCUUAUGUUUUGCUGAAAUUAUUGUCAUUUGGGAGAGAUUUCAGUGAUGAGAUUUCAGGGGCGUGAAGAUAGUAAAAUGCUGGAGUCAAAGUAAUUCCAGUACACAAGCGUUCAAAGAGGCAGCUUCAUUUUUGUACUUAGUUUUUUUUGUUGAUAAGUAAAUUAUUUCUUCUGUUAUCUAGACAUCAUUCUGGUUAGACCCUUUUCAAGAUUUUGCUAUGCAUAUAUGUUGAAAAGAACGGGCUUUAACUGGAAUGACUUGUGAGAAUGGCUUACUUGGGAAAAUGGGAGCCUGAGUUUUCACAGCUAACUUUGUGUGUGCUCUGAAGUUAUUCAAAAUGGCUCAUUUUUUAGAUAGGAGAAGUGGUCCUUAGCCUUGGAAAUCUCUCAACUCAGUAUGCUUGGGCUUUUGUUGGUUUGUCAGCUACAUAAGUCAUCACCUCAAGCUUAGCAGUUGUUAUAGGUCCCACUUUGUGAGACAGUCUUGAAAUAGUGAUGCUUCUUUGUGUUGACACUCUCACUUUAUCAGCUAGGUACUGAAAAUUUAUGGCUUUUGCUUGUGAUUUUGAUGGCAACAACAGAAACGCAUAGUUGUUUUUUGACAUCUAUAGGUUGAUGCAUUCCUUAAUGUCCACAUUGCCAGAUAAGGUUGGGUCAGAAGAUCUGAAAGAUGAUCGUGUCUCUUCCAAGAAGACUAAAGCCGGGACUGCAAAUUUUUUUGUUCAGCUUGAGAGAAGAAGAUCAAUCAAAGCACUUCCGCUAGUCAGCACUUUUUGGGGAAUCAUUCUGUUUGGAGAGUACAAAAAAUCCUCAAGAAGAAUAUAUAUAUUGCUACUGAGCAUGUUGUUUAUGUUUAUUGUGGCGGUUGUUGUUCUUAUGACAUCAUCAGGGCAUCGAAAAUAAAAUAAAACUACAUACACAAUUACUCUUUUUUUUUUUUAAGUAAAACAUUCAUAUAGGUCUGCAAAAGCUUCCCUAUAGUCUAAAGAAAGAUAUAAUUAUGAGUAAACUGGUGUACGUCUAUGUGGUAAUUAGUUUUAGAUAUAUAUUAUCAUCGUGUAUACUAGAAGGAAAAACUUUGGGUGCUUCGUUUCUCUUGCUAUUGAGUGUUUUUUUAUUUUGUU